rnacentral:lncRNA from 1 species
GGAGGGAGAGGAAGUGCGCCCAACGCCAUAGGGAGGUCAAGAGAGUCAAGGAUAGAAACAAAUGUGUCCAUUAGAUUAGCAACCAAGAAGGACUUAGAGCGCUCAGCGCAAGGAAUUUCUGUGAAGUGGGAGAGACAGACUGCAGAUGUUGGGAUUGUGCAAAAAGAAGAUAUUUGUCUGGAGUUUAUACUUAAAAAUAACUGUUGUUAAGCCAAAGAAUGUGGGGGUACUUCUUCUACACAGAUCCUCCUUCUGAAGAUGUUGGUCUUCUUCCUUGCCUGCCACCCCCUCCCACACUUGAUUCAAAUGGAAGGUUGACUUUCUUGGAUGGCAAGAGAAAAUUGUGGUGAUUGGCAGUGAAUAGAAGAGAACUACAGUCCCUGGAAAACCUGAUAGUGAUGCGGCAAUGCGAG